rnacentral:rRNA from 1 species
CCAGACUCCUACGGGAGGCAGCAGUGAGGAAUAUUGGUCAAUGGCCGCAGGGCUGAACCAGCCAAGUCGCGUGAGGGAAGACUGCCCUAUGGGUUGUAAACCUCUUUUGUCAGGGAGCAACGCCGGCUACGUGUAGCCGGACUGAGAGUACCUGAAGAAAAAGCAUCGGCUAACUACGUGCCAGCAGCCGCGGUAAUACGUAGGGGGCAAGCGUUAUCCGGAUUUACUGGGUGUAAAGGGAGCGUAGACGGUGAAGCAAGUCUGAGGUGAAAGGCGGGGGCUCAACCCCCGGACUGCUUUGGAAACUGUUUGACUGGAGUGCAGGAGAGGUAAGUGGAAUUCCUAGUGUAGCGGUGAAAUGCGUAGAUAUUAGGAGGAACACCAGUGGCGAAGGCGGCUUACUGGACUGUAACUGACGUUGAGGCUCGAAAGCGUGGGGAGCAAACAGGAUUAGAUACCCCGGUAA